AGACCCGAAACCCGGUGAUCUAGCCAUGGGCAGGUUGAAGGUUGGGUAACACUAACUGGAGGACCGAACCGACUAAUGUUGAAAAAUUAGCGGAUGACCUGUGGCUGGGGGUGAAAGGCCAAUCAAACCGGGAGAUAGCUGGUUCUCCCCGAAAGCUAUUUAGGUAGCGCCUCGUGAAUUCAUCUCCGGGGGUAGAGCACUGUUUCGGCUAGGGGGCCAUCCCGGCUUACCAACCCGAUGCAAACUGCGAAUACCGGAGAAUGUUAUCACGGGAGACACACGGCGGGUGCUAACGUCCGUCGUGAAGAGGGAAACAACCCAGACCGCCAGCUAAGGUCCCAAAGUCAUGGUUAAGUGGGAAACGAUGUGGGAAGGCCCAGACAGCCAGGAUGUUGGCUUAGAAGCAGCCAUCAUUUAAAGAAAGCGUAAUAGCUCACUGGUCGAGUCGGCCUGCGCGGAAGAUGUAACGGGGCUAAACCAUGCACCGAAGCUGCGGCAGCGAACGUAUCACUUAAAGCGAUUCAGCGGGUUACGAUUGA
rnacentral:rRNA from 1 species